UGAUCUUUGACUCUUUUUCAGUAUAUUUUUCAUGAAUCCUUUGAGUAUAGUUAUAGAAUUUGAUGUAUUAACAUAGAUGCUAUUUUUCAUACAAACAUUAUGGGAGAAUUAAAUUAAUUUUCUUCCUAGCUUUAAUUAAACCAAAUUUUAGUGAGUGUUUUGGUGUGAUUAAAGUAACUUCCACUCAGAAGUUGAGUAUUGAAUAAGUGACAGCAGCUUUCAGUUAGAGAAAUUAUAAUUUUGCUUGAAUUAGGUUCAUAAAUGGUAGUAGGAAAAUAUUUUUCAUAACUUUUGCUAAUAUAAGGUUCUCUUGAUAUCGCAGCAGCUAAUUUAGCUAUUUCUGAUGAGUUUUGCUUAAUAAAAGGGGAAAUGAUAUUAUAUAUUGAAUCUUGAUAGAAAAUGAACAAGAGAGUGGGUAGAAUAUGGGUUUUAAAUAUAAAUUUUAAUUUUUGUGGUUAUAACUGCAUCCAUAUUAUUCCAUUACUUGAACCUUGAGAUUGAUGAGGUGAGAAGUGAUGAGUUAUACGAAUUCUUUGUCGAACGGCAAAUUUGUUAGUAUAUAGGCCAUGAGUUUGAUUAGAAAUUUGGUUUCGGUAUUGGUAUGGAGAAAGAAAGACAUGUAUAAAUUUAUGGAUUUUAUGGGAUAUAUUUAUAUAAGUGUGUAUGCAAUGAUUGAGCUUGAAGUUUUAUAUGUACAGGUACAAAUUAAAGAAUAUGGAAAAGAAUUAAUCGUGAAAGCUAAUUAUGCACUUACGCUUAUAUAUGUAUCUAUGUAUCCAAGGGCUAAUCAAAGAUAUUAUUUAAAAAUAAUUGUUGCUUGAUAUGGUACAAUGAAGUCGUAUAUUUAAUACUUGCUAGGGAUUGAUUAGUUAAUGUGUAAUAUGUAAUUUUGGCAUAGAAAAACUCUGAAUUUUGUGAAUUGGCAGCAGCUACCUUAAGUAGUUUUUGUGUUGUUUUAGAAGGACCUAUAUAUGCAAGCGAGUGUGCUUUCAAGAUUCCGUGUCGGUCGAUUAUCUAUGGUUGAUAGAUGAUUUAAAUAGGUUUGUUAUUUAUAAUGAUGAUUCAUGGAUUGUUAAGUUGUAAUACAAGAUUUUAUUUAAUAAUAAUAACGAAUAUUGGAUACAUAAGCUAUAGUUUUAUAUGAUUGUUAAGGGUCUAUAUUCAGAUAGUUUAACUAGUAAUAUGUGGAGGUCAAGCAAAUUUUCACUUAUUUGCUUAUUUAUUUAUUUACUUAAUGUUACAUAGCAAGUUAAAG